rnacentral:rRNA from 1 species
AUCAGCCUUUCGGGUGCGAUUCUGUGGAGUGUGAGGAGCUUAAACACCUUCAUGUUUUGCAUAUUCGUACUCUUGGGUGUACUUGCCCGUGUGGUUGGUUAACAUCAAUUUUGGUGGUCAAAAAAUGACUGGAGGAAUGUAGCUUCGAUCUUGUAUUGAAGUGUUAUAGCCUUCGGUAGAUGUGAUGAUCGAGAUUGAGGAUUGCAACGGAUACCCUUCGGGGCUACCUGUCUGGUCUCUGAUCGUUGCUCUGGUGCCGAAAGCUUGCUUACGGUUAUCAAAGUCGAUGGUCAAUAGGUUAGAACGGGUUAAAUUCGUUAAGGAUGUUGACGUAAUGGCUUU